rnacentral:lncRNA from 1 species
GUGGUGCCUAAAAGCUUGGAGACACCAGGAACUGCAGAGCCCUAAAGAGGGUGUCAUAGCCCUGGCUUGGGGAUUUCCUAGGUCUGGGCUCCCUGAAGGGUUGCAGCUCUUCUCUCCUCUCUUCUGGUUGCCCUCAAUGUGGUUUUGUAUACCAGUGAAACUACUGACAUCACCUGGUCUGAAGGACCCCAUGAAGAGAUGACUCACCAAAGAAUGCAGUUUCCACAUCCUGAUGAUUUCAUCCCCAUUACCUGACAAAACAAUGACCCCAAUUUCCCAGCCCCUCACCCUCCAUGACCCCCUGAAAAACGUCAGCUAGAAACUUCUCGGAGAGAUGGAUUUAAGGGUCUCCUCCCAUCCCCUUGCUUGGUGCCCUGUGAUCAUUACACUCUUUCUCUGCUGCAAACCCUGCUAUCUCUGUACCUGUCUGUCACUGCACAGCAGGCAUAUGAAUCUGUUGGUCCUAUAACAUCGCAACGUAACAUUCCCAUGUGGAGGGGGAUUACACUCCAUGUUCUUAUCACAGCAAAACAUAUGUCACACGUAGCAAUCUAUGUAAGUGUUUGGAAUCAUUUCAGAGCUACAUAACAGGCACCAUUGUGAAAUGCAGGAAACUCUGAAUUUCCAGUUUUGAAAAAAUUGUAUUGGAGCUCUGUCUCUGCUACCCACUAACUGUGAUUUUGGUUCCUUAAUAUCUCUGAACCUUGCUUUUCCUCUGUAAAAAGGUGAUAACAACACCAACCUCAUGGGAUUACUGUCUGGAUUAAAUGACAUAAUGUACAAAAGCACUGUAAAUAUCUCUGAAUACAUAGGCACAUAUUUGAAAGUUGUUCCUUAAAUGUGAAAUUUUAAAACCAGGAAGCUAAUUAUAGAUAAAAUAUUGAAAGAAAAGUUAUAAAGGAACAUUUAAAAACUAAAAUUUCAUUAGAAAGAUACAUUUUAGCUUAAGGUAUAUUUGAAGAUAAAUAUUACCAUCACUGGGUGCCAGCAUACUUAUAACAAUCUUACAUUUUUCACCUUACAGUUUUUUAAUUUAAUUAUAAAAGUAACACAUACUUGUCAUAGGAAAUUAGGAAAAUACAGAAACAUGAAAAGGAGAAAAAUCCCAUCUCACAGAGAUAAGUCCUUUCAACUUUUUAAUAUAUUUCUUCCAGUUAGCAUUCUGGCUUUCAGCUUUUCUCUCCCUCCCUCUCAAAACAUUUAGUGUAAAUUAUGUCAUUAAGGCCAGGUGUGGUGGCUUAUGCCUGUAAUUCCAGCACUUCGGGAGGCCAAGGUAGGAAGAUCUUGGGAACAAGUGUUUGAGAUCAGCCUGGGCAAGAGAGUGAGACCGUUUCUACAGAAAUUUUUUAAAAAUAUUAGCUGGACAUGGUGGCAUGUGCUUAUAAUCCUAGCUGCUUGGGAGGCUGAGAUGAGAGGUUGACUUGAGCCCAGGAAUUUGAGGCUGCUGUGAGCUAUGAUCAUGCCACUGCACUCAAAGCCUGGGCUGUAGAGUAAGACUCUCUGUCUAAAAAAUAAUAAUAAUAAAAAGUAUAUCACUAAUAUAUCUUUCAAAAGUAAUAGUAACUUAACACUUAUUAUUGUUAGAUAGUUUCCAACUUUUGAAUACCAUUACAAUGACCUUGGGUUCCAUAAGUGCAUACCCGAAUUGGUACAUUCUGAAUAAAUCAUAUUUGCCUACUUACUCAUUUGUCUCCCCAGCUAGACAAUAAGCUUUGUGAGGAACACUUCCUUUUUUGCCAUUGUUAUGUAGUGCCUAAUAUCUUGCUUGGCACACAGUAUCUCUACAUAAAAAUAUGUGCUGUGGGCCGGGCGCGGUGGCUCAUGCCUGUAAUCCCAGCACUUUGGAAGGCCGAGGCGGGUGGAUCAUCUGAGGUCGGGAGUUCGAGACCAGCCUGACCAACAUGGAGAAACCCCGUCUCUACUAAAAAUACAAAAUUAGCCGGGCAUGGUGGCACAAACCUGUACUCCCAGCUACUCGGGGGGCUGAGGCAGGAGAAUCGCUUAAACCCGGG